rnacentral:rRNA from 1 species
GAUGAACGCUGGCAGCGUGGAUAAGGCAUGCAAGUCGAGCGAUCUAUCAUUUGCUAUAGCAAUAUAAUGAGUGAUGGGUAGCGGCAAAUGGGUUAGUAACAGGUAGGGAACCUCUCCGAAAGUGGGGAAUAACUCGUCGAAAGACGAGCUAAUACCCCAUGGUCCGUGUAGACGAAAGUCUCAUACGGUAAAGAUUUAUCGCUUUCGGCAGGCCCUGCUUCCUAUCAGCUAGUUGGUGAGGUAAUAGCUCACCAAGGCUAUGACGGGUAGGGGGUGUGAGAGCAUGACCCCCAACACUGGAACUGAGACACUGUCCAGACACCUACGGGUGGCUGCAGUCGAGAAUCUUCGGCAAUGGACGAAAGUCUGACCGAGCGACGCUGCGUGCAGGAAGAAGGCCUUCGGGUUGUAAACUGCUGUCGUAUGGGAAGAAAUUUGAAGGUACCAUACAAGAAAGGGGCACCUAACUCUGUGC